rnacentral:tRNA from 1 species
GCGUGAGCCGGCCCGUGGGGGCCCGCCCGCUCGGGUCGGGCGGGAGGAACAGCUCGUACUGGCCGAGCACGCGCGUG